GUGCUCGCUUCGGCAGCACAUAUACUAAAAUUGGAACGACACAGAGAAGAUCAGCAUGACCCCUGCGCAAGGAUGAGAAGUACUAUGCAGAUUUGGAGGCUUAUUUU
ensembl:snRNA U6 U6 spliceosomal RNA